rnacentral:rRNA from 1 species
AUGAAACACUCCUACGGGAGGCAGCAGUGGGGAAUAUUGCACAAUGGGCGCAAGCCUGAUGCAGCGACGCCGCGUGGGGGAUGGAGGCCUUCGGGUCGUAAACUCCUUUCGCUAGGGACGAAGCUUUGUGUGACGGUACCUAGAUAAGAAGCACCGGCUAACUACGUGCCAGCAGCCGCGGUAAUACGUAGGGUGCGAGCGUUGUCCGGAAUUACUGGGCGUAAAGGGCUCGUAGGUGGUUUGUCGCGUCGUCUGUGAAAUUCUGGGGCUUAACUCCGGGCGUGCAGGCGAUACGGGCAUAACUUGAGUGCUGUAGGGGUAACUGGAAUUCCUGGUGUAGCGGUGAAAUGCGCAGAUAUCAGGAGGAACACCGAUGGCGAAGGCAGGUUACUGGGCAGUUACUGACGCUGAGGAGCGAAAGCAUGGGUAGCGAACAGGAUUAGAUACCCUAGUAGUCCGAAGUUC